CGCGUAGGCGGUUUGGUCAGUCAGAUGUGAAAGCCCCGGGCUCAACCUGGGAACUGCAUUUGAUACUGCCAGACUAGAAUGUGGUAGAGGGAAGUGGAAUUCCAGGUGUAGCGGUGAAAUGCGUAGAUAUCUGGAGGAACAUCAGUGGCGAAGGCGGCUUCCUGGACCAACAUUGACGCUGAGGUGCGAAAGCGUGGGUAGCAAACA
rnacentral:rRNA from 1 species